AUUGAACGCUGGCGGCAGGCUUAACACAUGCAAGUCGAGCGAGCGGCGGACGGGUGAGUAAUGUCUGGGACACUGCCUGAUGGAGGGGGAUAACUACUGGAAACGGUAGCUAAUACCGCAUACCAUCGGAUGUGCCCCGUUGGGAUUAGCUAGUAGGUGGGGUAAAGGCUCACCUAGGCGCCUAUCCCUAGCUGGUCUGCGAGGAUGACCAGCCACACUGGAACUGAGACACGGUCCAGACUCCUACGGGAGGUAGCAGGGGGGAAGAUUGGACAAUGGGCGCAAACCUGAUGCAGCCAUGCCGCGUGUAUGAAGAAGGCCUUCGGGUUGUAAAGUACUUUCAGCGGGGAGGCGUUACCCGCAGAAGAAGCACCGGCUAACUCCGUGCCAGCAGCCGCGGUAAUUC
rnacentral:rRNA from 1 species